CUCCCAAAAAAUAUCAUCAGCAACACGCGCAAACUCAAUAUCUUCACAUUCACAGCUAGCGCAACAAUAGUUUAUUUCUCGCGGGCCGCGGCGAAACAGAAACACAGAUGGCAUCUGUUGGGGGUUGCAUUGCAUCGCAACUCCCAAGUCUGCAAUGUAAUAAACCAAUAAUAAAACAGCGUCGGCUUUGCCCCCGGUACGGUGAUGAAGGUGCACAUGCCGGCACUUGGGCGGGGCGUUGGCCCAGGGUUAGGGCAGGGCAGGGCUGUUACCUCCUUGACGAGGUGCGGCCUGGUGAUGAGGCAGGCGGCGCUCCAGAGCGGGUCGUUGAUGUCGGCGCCGAGCGCCUCCAGCUGCGUGGCGAAGCCGCCGUCGAUGACCGCGCACCCGCCCGCCUUCGCCACGAGCUCCUCCAGCGCCCCCAUCCCCCGCCGGUUCAGGUUCAGUCAAGCGCGCGCGACUACGACACUCGGCCCGCCGCACGCAGCAACGGGAGAUGGGAGACCUGCUGCUAAUGCCUCGUGAUCGACCGAGGAGCGGUAGGGAGAGGGAUAUAUAUUGCUGAGAAUGAGAUGGCCUAUAUACAAGAGUAGUAGGUAGACGACGACUAAAUUUGGCGACAAGCAAAGCAAUCCAAGUGGCGAUCGAGCUUAGAUACGAACGCGGACUGGUUUCUGGGGUAGGUGCGCUCGCACAGCUGGACCGUCCAGGACCACGAUUGAAUGCGUAUGCGUUGCUUCGAGUUUGAAGUUUUGAACCAGCCUACCGCAACGAGAUGUGCAGAUGUAACCGAAAUUAAUUAGUUCGGGAAAUUUGUUUGGGUUUGACUACCCAGGUAAUAUAGGCCUUGUUUAGUUCGCAACGAGUUUGAAGUUUGAACCAGCCUACCGCAACGAGAUGAACCUGUAUUUCCAUAAUUUCAUCUGAGCGAUGCUCUGCGUCUGUUCAGUGCUAGCCUACUUAUGGAAUCUUCAAAAGUCAAAAGCCAAGGUUUGACAGUUUUGUGCAGCAACUGCGACCGGGAAAACAGUUUUAGUCGACUCUAAAAAAAAAAAAGGAAUCGGCGCGGUGCAACCGCCGUAGUGCAGAACCGGUAAUCGGUUCAUUCCACACCACGAAAUCCGGCAACGUUCAACUGAACCAGGGCGCCAGUCCGGACUUUCACUUUCAACAGGAUUGGACUUUGUUCGUUCAAUCCAUCCAUUCCACAAUAAUAAUUUUCCAUAAUAUGCCAAAUGGGAGCCAGUCCAUGAAAUCUGUUUGCGCCAACGCUCUGGGCCUCUCUGCUCCUUUCCCGAUGGGCCGCAUAAGAAGUGGCAGGCCGAUUAUCAGCCCAGAAGUGUAUGUAGGUCCGACCCAUUCGGCCCAUCAGGCCUUUCGUCCAGGUCCAGCGCCCACCCCCUUCCACCGCCGUGCCCGUCUCCGCCAACACAAGGAAUUCUCUCACGUGCGGACCUCACGUCCCAUCGCCGGCCCUGCUGCACAGCGAUGCGGCUGCUCGCACGUCAUCAACUCCACGCGCGCGCGGUUGCGGAAACCUGCCUGAAACGCCGCCCCGUGCCUCGCCUACGGGGCCGACGGUGGGCCGGUCGGGCACUUUUCCAGACCGCCCUGCCGCUGCCGGCCCUGGCUGAGAUCAGCGUCGACCAAAACGUGCCGGUAGCAAUGGGCUAACCGAAAGCUUUACUCAUGUCACGUCUGCACGCCCACGGAGCUGGGGAGCUAGACUACAAUCACCAACUCCCCCCCCCCCCCAAAAAAAUAUCAUUAGCUUUCUCGCGGCGAACAGCAACACAGUAAUCAGAUGGCAUACGUUGGGGGUUGCAUUGCAUCGCAAGCCUGCAAUGUACUAGUAAUAAACAGCUAGCGCAGCUUUGUCCCCGUGUGAUAGAGGUGCUGUGCACAUGCAUGCCGGCAUCGGCAUGUCGCGCGGCGGGGCGUUGGCCCAGGGCUAUUAUAUUUACCUCCUUGAUGAGGUGCGGCCUGGUGAUGAGGCAGGCGGCGCUCCAGAGCAGGUCGUUGAUGUCGGCGCCGAGCGCCUCCA
rnacentral:lncRNA from 1 species